UCCCACCUAUUCUGUUUAUGUGAGAACACAUUCAGACGGAGAAGUAUUUGGCUAUUUGAGGAUUAUUAUAGUAAUCAGGCAACAGAAUUAAACAUCGUACGUACCAGUAUGUCGGAUGCUAUAGAAUUUUUCACAUUUUCAUGUAUGUCUUUCCAUUUGUUGACUCCAAUAAGUGGAGCCCUUUUCCUUGUAAACAUUACAAUUUCAUCCACAAAU
rnacentral:lncRNA from 1 species